rnacentral:misc_RNA from 1 species
GAUGAAGAACGUAGCAAAAUGCGAUAAGUAAUGUGAAUUGCAGAAUUCCGUGAAUCAUCGAAUCUUUGAACGCAAAUUGCACUCUUUGGUAUUCCGAAGAGUAUGCCUGUUUGAGGGUCAGUCAAAUAAAAAUCGGGGUUGUUGCUGCCUUCGGUGGUGACGCUUCGGAACUGGGUCGUCUUUGCCUUCGGUUAAGUGACCUAAAAUUUCGGAUGAUUUUUCGAACGUAUUUAAUUUUUUUUACGUACGUUUGUAUAUCGAAUAUUAGAUGUGGUCAUUUUCAUGAUUCGCGUCUAUAAUUUUUCAUCAAAUGACCUCAAAUCAGGUAAGAGUACCCGCUGAACUUAAGCAUAUCAAUAAGCGGAGGA